GCGUUGGUGGUAUAGUGGCGAGCAUAGUUGCUUCCCAAGCAAUUGACCCAGGUUCAAUUCCGGGCCAAUGCA